rnacentral:rRNA from 1 species
GAUGAACGCUGGCGGCGUGCCUAAUACAUGCAAGUCGAGCGAAGCGGGGACGGGUGAGUAACACGUGGAUAACUUCCUAUAAGACUGGGAUAACUUUGGGAAACCUGAGUUAAACCCGAUACUUCUAGAUGGAUCCGCGCUGCAUUAGCUAGUGGGUAAGGUAACGGCUUACCAAGGCUACCAUGCAUAGCCGACCUGAGAGGGUGAUCGGCCACACUGGAACUGAGACACGGUCCAGACUCCUACGGGAGGCAGCAGUGGGGAAUUUUCCGCAAUGGGCGAAAGCCUGACGGAGCAACGCCGCGUGAAUGAUGAAGGUCUUCGGAUCGUAAAACUCUGUUAUUAGGGAAGCGGUACCUACUCAGGAAGCCACGGCUAACUCCGUGCCAGCAGCCGCGGUAAUAC